rnacentral:rRNA from 1 species
CGCAGCCGCGGUAAUUCCAGCUCCAAUAGCGUAUAUUAAAGUUGUUGCAGUUAAAAAGCUCGUAGUUGAAUUUCGGGAUUGGCGCAUCGGUCGUGCCUUACGGGGUAUGAACUGGUGCAGUCAAUUUCUCACCUUCUGGAGAACCGCGAUGUCCUUAAUUGGGUGCCGCGGGGAACCAGGACCUUUACUUUGAAAAAAUUAGAGUGUUUAAAGCAGGCAUUUUUGCUUGAAUACAUUAGCAUGGAAUAAUAAAAUAGGACGGCAUGGUUCUAUUUUGUUGGUUUCUAGGACCACCGUAAUGAUUAAUAGGGAUAGUUGGGGGCAUUAGUAUUCAAUUGUCAGAGGUGAAAUUCUUGGAUUUAUUGAAGACUAACUACUGCGAAAGCAUUUGCCAAGGAUGUUUUCAUUAAUCAAGAACGAAAGUUAGGGGAGUCGAAGACGAUCAGAUAC